rnacentral:lncRNA from 1 species
GCCGUAGACGGUGAAGAAGCGGAGGCCAGUGAUGGAGAGGCCGUAGAUGUGGUUGUAGGUGUGGGCGAUGGCCUCGCCGGCCUUCUUCGUAGCGGCGUAGAGGGAGGCGGGGCGGUCGGUGCGGUGGAUCUCGGAGAAGGGGGCCUCGGUGUUGAGUCCGUAGACGGAGGAGGAGGAGGCCCAGACGACGGCUGGCUGGGGGUCGGCAUGCUUGGCGGCGACCUCGAAGAGGGAGACGAGGCCGGCGACGUUGGAGGCUACAUAAGACUGGGGGUUGCGAGUGGCGUAGCGGACUCCGGCCUGGGCAGCCAGGUGGAGGACGUGGGAGAAGGGAACAACGUCGAACAGUUUCGCGAGGAGUGUGCCGUCAUUAAUGUCGGCCUCGAGGACGAGGACGCCGUGACUGGAGAGGAGGGCCUGGCGGGAUCGCUUGAGUGCGGGGUCGUAGUAGGCGUUGAAGUUGUCGAGGCCGACCACGCCGUCGCCCCGCCGCUUCAGCGCGAGGGAGCAAUGGGUACCGACGAAUCCGGCGGCGCCGGUGACGAGGACGGAUAGGCCAUCAGGGCGGCGGGGGGCAGCGGAGCGGCGGACGUCCCGCUCCCAGUAGCCGCCGCCAUAGGAGCCAGAGGAAAGAAGACUGCGGUGGUUGGAGUGAGGAGAGGAGGAGGAGUAGUGGGAGCUGGAGAGGAGGAGAGGAGGGUAAUGGAGGAGGAAGAGGAAGAUGAGGAUGAGGGCGGCAAGGAUGGUGGCGCGGAAGAGGAGGUGGGAAGAGGCCGCGAUGAGCUUGGCGCUGCUGACGCGGCGGAGGAGGUAGCUGUUGUAGCGCUCGAGCUUGGAGCUCUUACUCGUGUCCGGCGGAGAAGCCAU